rnacentral:rRNA from 1 species
AGAGGAUGAUCAGCAACACUGGGACUGAGACACGGCCCAGACUCCUACGGGAGGCAGCAGUGGGGAAUUUUCCGCAAUGGGCGAAAGCCUGACGGAGCAACGCCGCGUGAGGGAUGAAGGCCUCUGGGCUGUAAACCUCUUUUAUCAAGGAAGAAGAUCUGACGGUACUUGAUGAAUAAGCCACGGCUAAUUCCGUGCCAGCAGCCGCGGUAAUACGGGAGUGGCAAGCGUUAUCCGGAAUUAUUGGGCGUAAAGCG